rnacentral:rRNA from 1 species
AAUGACUCUCGGCAACAGAUAUCUCGGCUCUCGCAUCGAUGAAGAACGUAGCGAAAUGCGAUACUUGGUGUGAAUUGCAGAAUCCCGUGAACCAUCGAGUCUUUGAACGCAAGUUGCGCCCGAAGCCUUUUGGCCGAGGGCACGUUUGCCUGGGCGU